ensembl:snRNA U6 U6 spliceosomal RNA
GUGCUCGCUUCGGUAGCACAUAUACUAAAAUUGGAACAAUACAGAGAUUAACAUGGCCCCUGUGCAAGGAUGACACGCAAAUUGGUGAAGCAUUCCAUAUUUUU